rnacentral:lncRNA from 1 species
GGAACCCAGAGUCUCAGAAAAAUGACAAUUCGGAUCGCUAGACUACAGGCCAGAGGUUGGGAGAGCUCGGCUCUUCCAAGGAGGACAGCAGUGGCAAGCCAGGAUUAAGAACUGUUAUCAAAUGAACAGAAUAAGACUAAAUCUCUGACAGGGAUGAAAAUCACAUAGUAGAAAAGUGAAGGUCCUUCCAGAAGUUAGUGGCAAUUUCUCUGGGGAGAGCUGCAAUAUCAAUGGUAAAUAUACAACAUAUAAAUAUAAAAAGAACAUAAAAAGAACAUAAAAAGCUUCAAAAAAGAAAAAACAAAAACAAAACCCAAAGAGGUCUUUAAAAUUUUUCUGGAAGUAUAAAACCAUGAGAGUGCUCAGACCAAGGGUGAUGCUGCAAGGCCAGAGGCAGCAGGAGGCAGACAAGCACAGCUUCUCUUCCAGAGCCU